rnacentral:rRNA from 1 species
AUUGAACGCUGGCGGCAGGCCUAACACAUGCAAGUCGAGCGGAUGAGGGAAGCUUGCUUCCUGAUUUAGCGGCGGACGGGUGAGUAAUGCCUAGGAAUCUGCCUAUUAGUGGGGGAUAACGUUCCGAAAGGAACGCUAAUACCGCAUACGUCCUACGGGAGAAAGUGGGGGAUCUUCGGACCUCACGCUAAUAGAUGAGCCUAGGUCGGAUUAGCUAGUUGGUGAGGUAACGGCUCACCAAGGCGACGAUCCGUACCUGGACGGAGAGGAGGAGCAGCCACACUGGAACUGAGACACGGUCCAGACUCCUACGGGAGGCAGCAGUGGGGAAUAUUGGACAAUGGGCGAAAGCCUGAUCCAGCCAUGCCGCGUGUGUGAAGAAGGUCUUCGGAUUGUAAAGCACUUUAAGUUGGGAGGAAGAGUUGUAAGCUAAUAUCUUGCAGCUUUGACGUUACCAACAGAAUAAGCACCGGCUAACUCUGUGCCAGCAGCCGCCGUAAUAC